UUUUUGGCACACGGAGGCCCCUCGCAAAGUCUCGCGCCAUUCGGAGUCCGGCGGACGAAGUUGGCCAGCCCCACCCCCCAAGGCUAUAGCCCACCCGUUUUUGUGGCCUUUUUCCGCUGGACGAACUUGGCGCCCCGGCCUUCGGGCGGUUGUUUUUGGGUGCGGCUUUGCCCGCGGACUAUUUUUUGCACACGGAGGCCCCUCGCAAAGUCUCACGCCAUUCCGAGUCCGGCGGACGAAGUCGGCCAGCCCCACCCCCCAAGGCUAUAGCCCACCGGUUUUUGUGUCCUUUUUCCGCUGGACAAACUUAGCGUCCCGGCCUUCGGGCGGUUAUUUUUGGGCGCGGCUUUGCCCGUGGCCUAGUUUUGGCACACGGAGGCCCCUCGCAAAGUCUCGCGGCAUUCCGAGUCCGGCGGACAAACUUGGUGCCCUGGCCUUCGGGCGGUUAUUUUUGGGCGCGGCUUUGGCCGCGGCCUAUUAUUGGCACACGGAGGCCCCUCGCAAAGUCUCGCGGCAUUCCGAGUCCGGCGGACGAAGUUGGCCAGCCCCACCCCCCAAGGCUAUAGCCCACCUGUUUUUUUGGCCUUUUUCCGCUGGACGAACUUGGCGCCCCGGCCUUCGGUCGCUUAUUUUUGGGUGAAGCUGUGCCCGCGGCCUA
rnacentral:lncRNA from 1 species